rnacentral:rRNA from 1 species
GACGAACCGUGCGAACGUUGUUCGGAUUCACUGGGCUUAAAGGGUGCGUAGGCGGCCUGUUAAGUCAGGGGUGAAAGACGGUAGCUCAACUAUCGCAGUGCCCUUGAUACUGAUGAGCUUGAAUGGACUAGAGGUAGGCGGAAUGAGACAAGUAGCGGUGAAAUGCUUAGAUAUGUAUUAGAACACCGAUUGCGAAGGCAGUUCACUAGGCGUGUAUUGACACUGAGGCUCGAAAGCGUGGGGAUCAAACAGG